rnacentral:rRNA from 1 species
UUCAGAGGUCUCAAGCGUUGUUCGGAUUCAUUGGGCGUAAAGGGUGCGUAGGCGGUGAAAUAAGUUGGAUGUGAAAUCCCGGAGCUUAACUCCGGAACUGCAUUCAAUACUGUUUUGCUAGAGUACUGGAGAGGAGAUUGGAAUUCACGGUGUAGCAGUGAAAUGCGUAGAUAUCGUGAGGAAGACCAGUGGCGAAGGCGAAUCUCUGGACAGUUACUGACGCUGAGACACGAAGGCCAGGGGAGCAAACGGG